AUGUUUUGGAUUUUGUCUGCUUACCUGUUGUCCUGUAUCCUUAGCCGGAUCCAUCACCCGCUUGCCUGUCAGCUGCUGGUGAAGCCGUAUUUCCGGGAUCACUUCAAACAUCAAUCGCAUCUUUAUCUUCGCAUCCCGGAGAUUCUCGCCCGAGCCUGUACUGCCAGUGUGACAAAUCCACCCUGCAUGCGCCGAUUACCCCUUUCCCUCCGAGUGUGUGUCAGCCCCCUUCCCUGGUUUCCCUCCGUUUAUUUAUCACUGGACAUAAUCUCCCACCCUAUGUAAAUAAUCCAGACACUGUAAAUAAAGAGCACUUUCUGCAUUACCUGCGUUUCUGUGUAUUCUGCCAUAGAGUCCGUUCGUUGAGCCUAACAGAAGCUCAGAAUUUGACAGAGUUCAAGUUCACUGCUCUAAUAACUAAUAAUGAUUAAUAUAAUAAUAACUUUAAUAUUGGCCAUAUUAUAUUUAUAUUACCAAAGUGAGAUUACUUUAGUCUCAUGAACAACAUUAGCUAAAUGUUAUUUACUAUUUAAUCUUAAAAUUACUGUUCAGUACAGAAAUGAAGCCCAACAAUCAUGUUUUUAGAGGCCCGUGGUCUCAGCCUCAGAUACUUAUCAAAUCAAACAGAGCUCAUAUAAAAACAAACAGAUGAACAAAAAAAUGUUCUCCUUCCUUUCUAUCAAAAAUGCUGUAUGAAACGUUUCCAGUGGUUAGGAUCAUGGUUGCUAGGCAACCUGAGCAGUGCGGCAGAGGCUAGACCGUCCCUUUUUUUUUUUUUCUUUCUUUUUUUUUGUCUGUCCCAUUUGGUUCUUUAGCCGUCAGAAUUGUUGUCUGAAGACCAACAAGGAUACCAAAUGGAUUUAUUCUGCCAAAUGGGUCAUCAUGGCAUUGCCGUAUUGGUCCAUUUGAUCAAACUUUGUUGUUAUUAUUUAUUUUAUUUUCAGUUGUUAGAGAUGGGACAGACAUGACCUGGGGGAUAGGAAAGGGAGAAAGAAAGAGAGGAAGGAAAAGAAAACAGAAGGCAAAAGAGACAGUGAGAAAGGGCACUUACAAAGACAAAGAGAAAGAAAAAAAAAAAAUCUCCUGGAUCACCUGUUGAGAGAAAAAGAAGAGAAGACAAGCAAAAAAAAAAAAAACCAAACAAAAACAAAGCAACAUACUAAACACAACACCAUCACGUUAAUCUAGCUAAGUGUGAACAUCAGUAAAUACUAAAUAUUGAAAGUUGUUGUGCAGCAUGCAGGACAGACAGCGCACAAUGUGCUUUGAAGUAGCAGCUAAGAAAGGUGUAGUUUAUGUCUACGAACAGUGAACACCCGUGUGCACACCUGUGUGGAUCAACGCGCUUGUAUACAAAAGGUUUCCCCAUGUAACAGUCUGCUAGAGGGUGUGGAGGGCCAUAGCCCCGUCCCCCAGGGCAUGAAGCAGGCAUGGAGGAGAUCCAGGCUCCAGACAUCCAGAGGCCCCAGAGUGCGAGAGCCCAAGGAGUACCACCGGAGGGGCAUCCGUGCCACCUUCCUGGGAAGGGCUGAGGAGAUCCCCAGACGAGGGGUCACCCAGUAGCCACGGAGCAGAAGCCAGAGGGGGCUGCACUGGCGUGCCCGCCAGCCAGCUGUGCCAUAGUGAACCGAGUUGCAGGCCCCGAGGCCGGAGGCCCGAGGGCCCCUUUGCCCCGGAAGAGGCCUGACCGAGCGACAGGUCAGGCCUUUUUAUUCAAUCAUCUUCUGGAAGAGAGAGACCCCUGCACAGCUCAAACGCCAGUUGCAAGAGCUCUAACAUUAGAAUCAUAAACUGUGUCUCAUAUAGGUGUUAUUUUGGUACUUUACACGUCACACAGUCUCAAACAUUGCUUAUAUGGAAUGUUCCUCAUUUCUGUGUCUUAUCUAUUAAUAUGCCUGUGCACUAAAACUUCCUGUUUUUCAGUUUGGCUGAGCACUUACUUUGUGAGUCAAAGGUGGCCUUGCUCUACAAGCCUUCAUUAUUAAAGUACAUAAAACAAUAUAAUAGGAAAAUAAGGAUACUAAGGAUACUAAGGAUAUUGAAUAGUGGUAUUGUAAAGCGCGUUGAGGGGUUCCGAAAAGCGCUAUAUAAAUGCAAUCCAUUAUUAUUAUUAUUAUUAUUGAUUUCCUGACAGUUCUUCCCCUUUUUGUGUUUUGUAAGAAACACAACAUAAUUCCUAAUUUAUCACAUUAAGUUUACUUCAAUCCAAUCCAAUUCAAUUUUAUUUAUAUAGCGCCAAAUCACAACAAAAGUCCCCUCAAGGCGCUUCAUAGAUACAGAGGAAAACCCAACAAUCAUAUGACCCCCUAUGAGCAAGCAGUUUGGCGACAGGAUCAUGGUUGCUAGGCAACCUGAGCAGUGCGGCAGAGGCUAGACCGUCCCAUUUCACAAGCCUUGCACUUCUGGCCUUCUCGGUCUUCGGAGGACGCGGCCCACGUAGACCACGAAGGCCGGGUCCUCUGAAGGAUCCAUUAAACACGUCGUUGACCUUCAUGUGGCUUCUCUGCAGUGUGUUUUCCUCCCCGCUUCUUCGUUCUUUAUUCCCAGUUUAGUUCUCUAGUUUCUUACAUUUUUGGUUUGAGUUUUAUUCUGCCCUCACACUUAACUAGGCAGAAUAGUAAAAAGACUGGUGAAACGGCUACUUCUGGAGGCACAUUGCACAGUCUCCCAGACAUCUGACCCAGAUGUGAUGUUGUCAGCGGAGAAGGAGCACCUGGAGAUCCGGUCCACCUGCUUUGGAUCAACAUCCAAAUCCCGCAGUUAACUCGCCAAAGCAGCAGUAGAAGCAUGGGCAAAGGCCGAAGCAGCAUGUAUCAGAGCAAAGUUUACAUGACGGGAGAUACCUACCGACCUACUUUCUGAAAUUGAUGCAGCCAAAUCAGAAGGGUCUUUACAUGGACUAGUGUAUUUGGACACAUUGCGUGUCAUUGCCCCAAUAGUUGAUAAGUUGCCAACAAAUCUUCAAGACAAGUGGAUGUCAGAGGGGACUAAAUACAAGCAAAGACAUGAUGUAUA
rnacentral:lncRNA from 1 species